rnacentral:misc_RNA from 1 species
CGCGCCGGGGCGGGUCCGGGCCGCGGAGGGAGGGGGGAGGGAAGGGACGGAAAAAGAAGAAAACGAACCCACAUAAAAGUUUAUUAUCUCAACAAUUCAAAAAUUAGAGCUAUCAGCCAACUUCACGAGUUCAGGCAUAAAAGCAAUCCCGCGCGCCACCCCACCCACCACCCCCCACACCCCAACAAUUUUUAUAUUCUGAAGCAUUAAACGUUAAUCCAAGGCAGAUAAAAGCACAAGACACCCAUUACCUCAAAAACUCGAAACAAGGCCAAUAUCAAUGGAGAAGAAGGAAAAAAAGAAAAUCAAAGCCUUACCCGGCCACAAACGUCUUCACAUA